UAGGGAAUCUUCCGCAAUGGGCGAAAGCCUGACGGAGCAACGCCGCGUGAGUGAUGAAGGUCUUCGGAUCGUAAAACUCUGUUAUUAGGGAAGAACAAAUGUGUAAGUAACUAUGCACGUCUUGACGGUACCUAAUCAGAAAGCCACGGCUAACCACGUGCCAGCAGCCGCGGUAAUACGUAGGUGGCAAGCGUUAUCCGGAAUUAUUGGGCGUAAAGCGCGCGUAGGCGGUUUUUUAAGUCUGAUGUGAAAGCCCACGGCUCAACCGUGGGGGGUCAUUAGAAACUGGAAAACUUGAGUGCAGAAGAGGAAAGUGGAAUUCCAUGUGUAGCGGUGAAAUGCGCAGAGAUAUGGAGGACCACCAGUGACGAAGGCGACUUUCUGGUCUGUAACUGACGCUGAUGUGCGAAAGCGUGGGGAUCAAACAGG
rnacentral:rRNA from 1 species